GAUGAAGAACGCAGCGAAAUGCGAUAAGUAAUGCGAAUUGCAGAAUUUCCGUGAGUCAUCGAAUCUUUGAACGCACAUUGCGCCCACUGGUAUUCCGGUGGGCAUGCCUGUUCGAGCGUCAUUAUCCUCCCUCAAACCCCGGGUUUGGUGUUGGACCCAAGUUGUGUGAACAACUGGUCUCAAAGACAAUGACGGCGUCCGUGGGACCCUCGGUGCAACGAGCUUUUAGGAGCACGCAUCGAGUUGCAAGGACCUUCCGGGCCGGUCUCCUUUACCAUUUUACAAGGUUGACCUCGGAUCAGGUAGGAAUACCCGCUGAACUUAAGCAUAUCAAUAAGCGGAGA
rnacentral:misc_RNA from 1 species